UACGUAGGGGGCAAGCGUUGUUCGGAUUUAUUGGGCGUAAAGAGCGUGUAGGCGGCCAGGUAGGUCGGUUGUGAAAACUCGAGGCUCAACCUCGAGAUGUCGACCGAAACCAUCUGGCUAGAGUCCGGAAGAGGAGAAUGGAAUUCCCGGUGUAGCGGUGAAAUGCGCAGAUAUCGGGAAGAACACCCGUGGCGAAGGCGGUUCUCUGGGACGGUACUGACGCUGAGACGCGAAAGCGUGGGGAGCGAACAGG
rnacentral:rRNA from 1 species